ACGCUCGACACCUACGGGAGCAGCAGUGGGGAAUAUUGCACAAUGGGGGAAACCCUGAUGCAGCGACGCCGCGUGGAGGAAGAAGGUCUUCGGAUUGUAAACUCCUGUUGUUGGGGAAAAAGAGGAUGGUACCCAACAAGGAAGUGACGGCUAACUACGUGCCAGUAGCCGCGGUAAUCUGAGCGGGCUGGCAAGGC
rnacentral:rRNA from 1 species